rnacentral:ncRNA from 1 species
AAUGGAUUGAGUCUUAUUUAGAAUUUGAUUAUGGUUUGUGAAGUGAUAUAAUGAUAUUAUUUAAGUUUAAUUUAUUUAGAUGGGCAAUGUUUUUUUACCCUCUCAAUUUGUUAUGUGUAAAAAAUUGGUUCCAGAAUAAUCGGCUAUGCUAGUUAUGUUUAAACUUUAUUUUUGUUGUAAGUGCAGUUUGAUAGUUUUUUAUAAUUGAAUUUAUUUUUGGUUAAAUUGAAAUUUUUUUUGUUGUUUUUGCUGUGUUUUUUAAAUUUUGUUUAACGAAUUAGAUUAGUACCUAAUUAGUCAAAAGUUAUAAAUUUCAGGAGUAAAGUGUAGUUUAAACUGAAAGAAUAUUGGCAGAUUUUCUAAAUUAUCUUUGGAGGUUGAGUGAUAAUUGAGAACCCUCAUUGACUAUUUUUUUUUUGGCUCAUGUAUGAUCGUUUAUUUUAUGUUUAAGAUGUAAAAGUUUAGUUUUUUGUUGUUAAAAUAGAUAUAUAUUUGGUUUAUAAAUUUAGUUUUAUUUGACCUACAAUAUUUUGUUAUUGUGGAUUAAUAAGGUAGUAUUAUUAUGAAAAUGUAAAAGACAGUAAAAAAAAUUUUAUGUUUUUUUGAAGAUUACUUAGAAAUGGUACAAAUCAUCCAUCAAUUGCCUAAAGGGGAGUAAGUUGUAGUAAAGUAGGUUUAGGGGAACCUGAACCUAGUAUUU